CAAUAGCGUGUAUUUAAGUUGCUGCAGUUAAAAAGCUCGUAGUUGGAUUUCGGGUGGGAAUGGCCGGUCCGCCGUUUCGGUGUGCACUUGCUACGCCCACCUUGCUGCCGGGGACGUGCUCUUGAGUUCACGCUCGGGACACGGAGUCGGCGAGGUUACUUUGAGUAAAUUAGAGUGUUCAAAGCAGGCCUACGCUCUGAAUACAUUAGCAUGGAAUAACACGAUAGGACUCUGGCCUAUCUUGUUGGUCUGUAGGACCGGAGUAAUGAUUAAGAGGGACAGUCGGGGGCAUUCGUAUUUCAUUGUCAGAGGUGAAAUUCUUGGAUUUAUGAAAGACGAACUACUGCGAAAGCAUUUGCCAAGGAUGUUUUCAUUAA
rnacentral:rRNA from 1 species